GUGCUCAAUUCAGUAACACAUAUACUAAAAUUGGAAAGAUACCUAGAAGAUUAGCAUGGCCGCUGAGCAAGGAUGACACGGAAAUCUGUGAAGUGUUCCAUAAUUAA
rnacentral:snRNA from 1 species